rnacentral:rRNA from 1 species
GAUGAACGCUAGCGGCAGGCUUAAUACAUGCAAGUCGAGGGGGCAGCAAUGUCACCGGCGGACGGGUGCGUAACGCGUAUGAAACCUACCUUUAUCAGGGGGAUAGCCCGGGGAAACCCGGAUUAAUACCGCAUAAUAUAAGGAACGGCAUCGUUUUUUAUUGAAAGAUUUAUUGGAUAGAGAUGGUCAUGCGUAGGAUUAGCUAGUUGGUAAGGUAACGGCUUACCAAGGCGACGAUCCUUAGGGGCUCUGAGAGGAGUAACCCCCACACUGGCACUGAGAUACGGGCCAGACUCCUACGGGAGGCAGCAGUAGGGAAUAUUGGGCAAUGGGCGAGAGCCUGACCCAGCCAUGCCGCGUGCAGGAAGACGGCCCUCUGGGUUGUAAACUGCUUUUGAAUGGGAAGAACGGUAAGCCUGCGGGCUUAAUUGACGGUACCAUUAGAAUAAGCCACGGCUAACUACGUGCCAGCAGCCGCCGUAACAC